AUCCUUACCUGGCAGGGGAGACACUAUGAUCACGAAGGUGGUUUUCACAGGGCGAGGCUUAUCUAUUGCUCUCCGGAUGUACUGACCCCUGACAUUCCCAAAUGUGGGAACCUCGACUGCAUAAUUUGUGGUACUGGGGGGACUGCAUUCACGUUGUCUCCUG
rnacentral:snRNA from 1 species